GAUGAACGCUGGCGGCGUGCCUAAUACAUGCGAGUCGAGCGAACGGACGAGAAGCUUGCUUCUCUGAUGUUAGCGGCGGACGGGUGAGUAACACGUGGAUAACCUACCUAUAAGACUGGGAUAACUUCGGGAAACCGGAGCUAAUACCGGAUAAUAUUUUGAACCGCAUGGUUCAAAAGUGAAAGACGGUCUUGCUGUCACUUAUAGAUGGAUCCGCGCUGCAUUAGCUAGUUGGUAAGGUAACGGCUUACCAAGGCAACGAUGCAUAGCCGACCUGAGAGGGUGAUCGGCCACACUGGAACUGAGACACGGUCCAGACUCCUACGGGAGGCAGCAGUAGGGAAUCUUCCGCAAUGGGCGAAAGCCUGACGGAGCAACGCCGCGUGAGUGAUGAAGGUCUUCGGAUCGUAAAACUCUGUUAUUAGGGAAGAACAUAUGUGUAAGUAACUGUGCACAUCCUGACGGUACCUAAUCAGAAAGCCACGGCUAACUACGUG
rnacentral:rRNA from 1 species